rnacentral:rRNA from 1 species
UGAACGCUGGCGGUAUGCCUAACACAUGCAAGUCGUACGGGAGUUUUUAACUCAAGUGGCGGACGGGUGAGUAACACGUGAGAAUUUACCUUUAGGAGGGGGAUAACAGUUGGAAACGAUUGCUAAUACCCCAUAUGCUUUUUAAGUGAAACGGAUUUAUUCGCCUAAAGGAAAGCUCGCGGCUGAUUAGCUAGUUGGUAAGGUAAUGGCUUACCAAGGCGACGAUCAGUAUCUGGUUUGAGAGGACGAUCAGACACACUGGAACUGGGACACGGUCCAGACUCCUACGGAAGGCAGCAGUGGGGAAUUUUCCGCAAUGGGCGAAAGCCCGGCGGAGCAAUACCGCGUGAGGGAAGAAAGCCUACUGGGUUGUAAACCUCUUUUUUUCAGGGAGGAAAAAAAACUGACGUGUACCUGAAGAAUAAGCAUCGGCUAACUCCGUGCCAGCAGCCGCGGUAAUCUGAUG